rnacentral:rRNA from 1 species
GACGAACGCUGGCGGCGUGCUUAACACAUGCAAGUCGAACGGAAAGGCCCUGCUUUUGUGGGGUGCUCGAGUGGCGAACGGGUGAGUAACAAGUGAGUAACCUGCUCUUGACUUUGGGAUAACUUCAGGAAACUGGGGCUACUACCGGAUAGGAGCUCCUGCUGCAUGGUGGGGGUUGGAAAGUUUCGGCGGUUGGGGAUGGACUCGCGGCUUAUCAGCUUGUUGGUGGGGUAGUGGCUUACCAAGGCUUUGACGGGUAGCCGGCCUGAGAGGGUGACCGGCCACAUUGGGACUGAGAUACGGCCCAGACUCCUACGGGAGGCAGCAGGGGGGAAUAUUGCACAAUGGGCGGAAGCCUGAUGCAGCAACGCCGCGUGCGGGAUGACGGCCUUCGGGUGGUAAACCGCUUUCGCCUGUGACGAAGCGUGAGUGACGGUAAUGGGUAAAGAAGCACCGGCUAACUACGUG